rnacentral:rRNA from 1 species
UACGUAGGGUGCAAGCGUUGUCCGGAAUUAUUGGGCGUAAAGAGCUCGUAGGCGGUUUGUCGCGUCUGCUGUGAAAACUCGGGGCUUAACCCCGGGCCUGCAGUGGGUACGGGCAGACUAGAGUGCGGUAGGGGAGACUGGAAUUCCUGGUGUAGCGGUGAAAUGCGCAGAUAUCAGGAGGAACACCGGUGGCGAAGGCGGGUCUCUGGGCCGUAACUGACGCUGAGGCGCGAAAGCUAGGGGAGCAAACGGG